AUUGAACGCUGGCGGCAGGCCUAACACAUGCAAGUCGAACGGUAACAGGGAUCAUCUUGCUGAUUCGCUGACGAGUGGCGGACGGGUGAGUAAUGUCUGGGAAACUGCCUGAUGGAGGGGGAUAACUACUGGAAACGGUAGCUAAUACCGCAUAACGUCGCAAGACCAAAGAGGGGGACCUUCGGGCCUCUUUCCAUCGGAUGUGCCCAGAUGGGAUUAGCUAGUAGGUGGGGUAACGGCUCACCUAGGCGACGAUCCCUAGCUGGUCUGAGAGGAUGACCAGCCACACUGGAACUGAGACACGGUCCAGACUCCGACGGGAGGCAGCGGUGGGAAAUAUAGCACAAUGGGCGGAAGCCUGAAGAAGCCAUGCCGCGUGUAUGAAGAAGGCCUGCGGGUUGUAAAGUACUUUCAGCGGGGAGGAAGGGAGUAAAGUUAACACCUGUGCUCAUGGACGUUACCCGCAGAAGAGGCACCGGCUAACUCCGU
rnacentral:rRNA from 1 species